rnacentral:rRNA from 1 species
UACAGAGGGUGCGAGCGUUGUUCGGAAUUACUGGGCGUAAAGCGCGUGUAGGCGGCGGGAUAAGUCGCAUGUGAAAGCCCUCGGCUCAACCGAGGAAGUGCAUGCGAUACUGUUUCGCUUGAAUGCCGGAGGGGAUGGCGGAAUUCCCGGUGUAGAGGUGAAAUUCGUAGAUAUCGGGGGGAACACCUGUGGCGAAGGCGGCCAUCUGGACGGCAAUUGACGCUGAGACGCGAAAGCGUGGGUAGCAAACAGG